rnacentral:rRNA from 1 species
UACGAAGGGGGCUAGCGUUGCUCGGAAUGACUGGGCGUAAAGGGCGCGUAGGCGGUUCGUACAGUCAGACGGUGAAAUUCCCGGGCUCAACCUGGGGGCUGCGUUUGAUACGUGCGGGCUUGAGUUCGGAAGAGGGUCGUGGAAUUCCCAGUGUAGAGGUGAAAUUCGUAGAUAUUGGGAAGAACACCGGUGGCGAAGCGGCGACCUGGUCCGAUACUGACGCUGAGGCGCGAAAGCGUGGGGAGCAAACAGG